UGUGUGUGUAUAUAGUAUUUAUGUUAACCUGUUGUGUGUCCGAAUUUGGCCAAAAUCGUUUUUUUUUCAAUAUUUAUUUUUGCAUCGAAUAGCAGGUUCUUUUGGUCAAACUAUCGUAUCUCCAGCUGCUUCUGAUGCCAAGAUAUCAAAAACUGU